rnacentral:lncRNA from 9 species
GGCUGCACCCAUGACAUAUGGAAGUUCCCAGUCCAGGGAUUGAAUCCAAGCCCCAGCUGUGACCUACACCAGGUCCUUUAACCCACUGCACAGGGCCUGGGAUCCGUAACCCACUGUGCCACAGAGGGAACCCCUAUGUGGUGGACUUCUGAAUGCUGGAUUUGGCCCACAGACUGUUAUUCACUAACUUCUGCUGUAGGUGACUGAGGAAGAGGUAUGGGAGAAAUAAUUAUAUUUUUAUUUGGUAUGUCUUUUUUUAAUUGGAAAAUAACUUUUUAAAAUACUUUUUUAAAUGGAAGUACACUUGAUUUACAAUGUGUUAGUUUCAGAUGUGCAGCAAAGGGAUUAUUGUAUGUAUGUGCAUAUAUAUAUAUAUAUAUAUACACACACACGCACACACAUUAUACAUAUAUAUAUUCUUUUUCAGAUUCUUUUCCAUUAUAAGUUAUUAAAGAUACCGAAUACAAUUUCCUCUGCUAUACAGUAGGUCCUUGUGGUUUAUCUAUUUUAUAUAUAGAAGUGUGUAUAUAUUAAUCCCAGACUCCUAAUUUAUCCCCCAAGCCUGCUAUCCCUUUUGCUAAUAACCUCAAGUUUGUUUUCUGUCUGUGAAUCCAUUUCUGUUUUGUAAAUAAGUUCAUUUGUAUCAUUUUUUAGAUUCCACAUGUAAGUGAUAUCAUGCAAUAUUUGUCUUUCUCUGACUUACUUCACUUACCAUGAUAAUCUCUAGGUCUGUCCAUGUUGCUGCAAAUGGCAUUAUUUCAUUAUUUUUUAUGGCUAAGUAAUAUUCCAGCAUGUUUAUGUAUGUGUGUGUGUGUGUGUAUGCAUACAUGUGAUAUAUACUUAAGCCAGUCAUCUGUCAGUGGACAUUUAGGUUGCUUCCAUGUCUUGACUAUUGUAGAUAUUACUGCUGUGAACAUUGGGGUGCAUUUAUCUUCUCAAGUUAGAAUUUUCUCCGGCUAUAUGCCAAGGAGUGGGAUUGCUGGAUCAUAUGGCAACUCUGCAUUUAGUUUUUAAGCAACCUCCAUGCUAUUCUCCAUAGUGGUUACACCAAUUUGCAUUCUCACCAACUGUGUAGCAGGGUUCCUUUUUCUGCACACUGUCUCCAGCAUUUGUUAUUUGUAGACUUUUGAUGAUAGCCAUUCUGACUGGUGUGAAGGAUACUUCAUUGUAGUUUUGACCUGCAUUUCUCUAAAUAUUAAGGAUAUUGAGCAUCUUUUCAUGUACCUGUUGGCCAUCUUCUGCCCUUUUUUUUUUUUUUAAAUGGCUACACCUAUAGCAUAUGGAAGUUCUGGGGCCAGGGAUUGAAUCUGAGCUGCAGCUGUAACCUAUGCCAGAGUUGCAGCAAAGCCAGAUCUUCAGCCUGCUGUGCAGGGCCAGGAAUUGAACACACACUACCAUAGAGAAAUGGCAGAUCUUUAACCCAUUGCACCAUAGCAGGAAUUGCUUCUACCCAUUUUUUGAUUGGUUUGUUUGGUUUUUUUUUUUUUUUUAAUAUAUUUAGCUGUAUGAGCUGUUUGUAUAUUUUGAAAAUUAAUCCCUUGUUGGUAGCAUCGUUUGCAAAUAUUUUCUCCCAGUCCAUAGGUUAUUUUUUCAUUUUGUCUAUGGUUUCCUUUGUCUUUAAGUUUAAUUGGGUCCCAUUUAUUGAUUUUUGUUUUUAUUUCCUUUACUCUAGGAGACAGUUCCAAAAAAAAAAUAUUGCUGGAAUUUAUGUCAAAGAGUAUUCUGUCUAUGUUUUCCCCUAGGAGUUUUAUAGUAUCUGUCUUACAUUUAGGUCUUUAAUGAAUUUUGAGUUUAUUUUUGUAUAUGUUGUUAGAGAAUGUUCUAAAUUUAUUUUUUUACAUAUAGGUGUUCAGUUUUCUCAGCACCAAUUAUUGAAGAGACUUUCUUUUUCUCCAUUGCAUAUUCUUGCACCCUUUGUUGUGGAUUAAUUGACGAUAAGUGCUUGGGUUUAUUUCUGGGCUUUCUAUCCUGUUCCAUUUUUCUAUGUGUCUGUUUUUGUGCCAGACCAUACUGUUUUGAUGACUGUAGCUUUGUAGCAUAGUGUGAAGUCAGAAAGAGUGAUUUCUCCAGCUCUGUUCUUUUUUUCUCAAUAUUGUUUUGACUAUUUGGAGUCUUUUGUGUUUCCAUAAAAAUUACAAAAUUUUUUGUUCUAGUUCUGUGAAAAAUGCCAUUGGAGAUUUGAUAGGGGUUGCAUUGACCCUGUAGAUUGCCUUGGGUAGUAUGGUUAUUUUAACAAUAUUGAUUCAUCCAAACCAAGAACAUGGUAUAUCUUUCCAUCCAUUUGUGUCAUCUUUGGUUUCUUUCAUUAGCAUCUAAUAGUUUUCAGAGUACCGGUCUUUUGCCUCCUUGGGAGGUUUAUUCCUAGGUAUUUUAUUCUUUUUGAUGCAAUGGUAAAUGGGAUUGUUUCCUUAAUUUCUUUUUCUGAUACUUCAUUUUUAGUGUAUAGAAAUGCAAGAGAUUUCAGUGUAUUAAUUUUGUAUCCUGUGACUUUACUGAAUUUGUUAAUGAAUUCUAGCAGUCUUCUGGUAGCACUUAAGGAUUUUCUAUGUAUAGUAUCAUGUCAUCUUUAAACAGUGAUAGUUUUACUUUGUCUUUUCCAAUUUGAACUUUUUUUUCUCCUUCUUUGAUUGCCAUGGCUAGGAUUUCCAAAACCAUGUUGAAUAAAAGUGGUAAGAGUGGACAUCCCUGUUUUGUGCCUGAUCUUAGUGGAAAUGCUUUCAGCUUUUCACCAUUGAGAAUGAUGGGUUUGUCAUAUAUGGUCUUUAUUAUGUUGAGGUAUGCCCCCUCUAUGCCCAUUUUCUGGAGAGUUUUUGUCAUAAAAGGGGGUUGAAUUUUGUCAAAAGCUUUGUCUGCAUCUAUUGAGAGAAUCAUAUUGUUUUUAUUCUUCAAUUUAUUAAUGUGGUAUGUCACACUUCCUGAUUUGCAGAUAUUGAAAAAUUCUUGCAUCCCUGGGAUAAACCCCACUUGUUCAUGGUGUAUGUAUAAUCCUUUUAAUGUAAUGAGGGAGUUGGUUUGCUAGUAUUUUGUUGAGGAUUUUUGUAUCUAUAUUCAUCAGUGAUAUUGGCCUAUAAUUUUCUUUUUCUUUUUUUGAUAUCUUUGUGUGAUUUUGAUAUCAGGUGGCCUCGUAGAAUGAGUUCAAAAGUAUCCUUCCUCUGCAAUCUUUUGUGGAUAGUUCCAGAAGGAUAGGUGUUAACUUUUCUCUAAAUGUUUGGUAGGAUUCACCUGUGAUGCCAUCUGAUUCUGCAAUUUUGUUUGUUGGGAGUUUUUAAAUUUCUGAUUCAAUUUCAAUCCUGGUAAUUGAUCGGUUCCUAUUUUCUAUUUCUUAUUUGCUAUAUUCUUAAUUGUUCUUAUUACUCAGCAAGAGUAUUCAUAGUCCUAUCUAGCAGAUAAGUUCAUCUUUCCACAUUCUGACCACUCUGUUCAUUCAUAUAGACAGCUGACCGUUGAACAAGUGAGUUUGAAUUACGCAGGUCCACUUACACACAGAUGUUUUCCCAUAGCAAAUGCUGCAGUACUGUACAAUCCGCAGUUGUGUGGGGCAGAGACCUGCUGAUCUGAGGUCACUGGAGAGGUGGGCUGGCGGGAGGGACAGAGGCCAGGGGGCACUUACCGGAGCCCAGCUGAACUGUCUCAUGGCUCUGCUUAGACUGUGUGCCUUCCAUGUGGCUUCCCAGGGUCUCAUCUGGCACCUUCCCUGAGACAUCUGAUUCUAGGAGGCUGCCCUGUGGACUGAGGAGGGUCCCUGCCGGGGUCUCUCUCUGUCUUUUUGUGCUUGACUAGCACAUUUCAUUCCUGUGUGGACCCCACCCCACCCCACCCAGGAGCACUGAUGGAGUUUCAGAAUCUGCCCAGCCAAGGCCUGGACCGGAUGGCAGAGUCCUCGCUGGGUGCUGCCCAGCCUGACCACAAAGCCAGGUGACUGGUUGCAUUCCUUUGGAGCACCUCUGUGACCCCUUUCAGCUGCUUGAGAACUGUCACUCAGCCCUGAAGAGAGCUGACCCUGUGCUCAAAGCACAGGCUGCAGAGUGAGGCAAACUCGUGAUCUCUUACUUUCAAUAAGGGAGAAGGAGGCCCACAUGAGCAGGAGUUUGGGGAGGGCAGGACUUGCAGGAGAACGGGAGGAUAAUUAAGACUGGUCCAGCCACAGGCAGCCAGAGGGUCGGAGUUCCCAAUGCCACGGUCACCACCAAGUCCACUCCAGGGGGUAUCCCUACCUCGUCAGUAGCUGCUAAAAUAAUUUCUGUGAUCUCAUUCUCAUAGAACAUCAGGAUCCCACUAACCGCAGGCCCACCCAGCAGAGUCACUGAGCCAUCCAGACACUCUGCCAUUUCCUCGACUUUCUCAUCUCACACGUGCCACCUAAACCCUGGACCAACCCCUGCCCCACCAGUCAGUGCCUGAGAGGCUGCAGUUUACCAUACACGUUCUGAGCACAGUUCCUCAUCUGAGGAAGGGUUAGGAUAUUAUAUACUUUGUCGGGUUAGUGCUGGGAUUAGUGAUAAUAUGAAAGCAGAAGGUGGCACGUAAGACACACAUAAUGACACGUAUAGUGUUGUAUCAGCCAGUCAUUCAUUCAAUUUGUAUGUAGCAGGCCCUGUUACAGGAGCUGGGCCGAC